rnacentral:rRNA from 1 species
UACGUAGGGUGCAAGCGUUAAUCGGAAUUACUGGGCGCAAAGCGUGCGCAGGCGGUUUUGUAAGUCUGUCGUGAAAUCCCCGGGCUCAACCUGGGAAUUGCGAUGGAGACUGCAAGGCUAGAAUCUGGCAGAGGGGGGUAGAAUUCCACGUGUGAGCAGUGAAAUGCGUAGAGAUGUGGAGGAACACCGAUGGCGAAGGCAGCCCCCUGGGUCAAGAUUGACGCUCAUGCACGAAAGCGUGGGGAGCAAACAGG